GAACCGUACGAACGUUUAUUCGGAAUUACUGGGCUUAAAGGGUGCGUAGGCGGCUUGGUAAGUUGGGUGUGAAAUCCCUCGGCUCAACCGAGGAAUUGCGCCCAAAACUGCCAGACUUGAGGGAGACAGAGGUGAGUGGAACUUAGGGUGGAGCGGUGAAAUGCGUUGAUAUCCUAAGGAACACCAGUGGCGAAGGCGACUCACUGGGUCUCUUCUGACGCUGAGGCACGAAAGCUAGGGUAGCGAACGGGAUUAGAUACCCCGGGUAGUCCUAGCUGUAAACGAUGAGCACUGGGUCGGAGAGUCUUCCCAUAGCUUUCCGGCCGCAGCGAAAGUGUUAAGUGCUCCGCCUGGGGAGUAUGUCGCAAGGCUG
rnacentral:rRNA from 1 species